GGCACUGUAGCUCAAUUGGUAGAGCAUCACUCUGAUUCACUCAUGAAGACUGAAGGCCAGGGGUUUGAAUCCCUCUAGCACCA